rnacentral:rRNA from 1 species
AUUGAACGCUGGCGGCAGGCCUAACACAUGCAAGUCGAACGGGUGGCGGACGGGUGAGUAAUGUCUGGGAAACUGCCUGAUGGAGGGGGAUCACUACUGGAAACGGUAGCUAAUACCGCAUACCAUCGGAUGUGCCCAGAUGGGAUUAGCUGGUGGGUGGGGUAAAGGCUCACCUAGGCGCCGAUCCCUAGCUGGUCUGAGAGGAUGACCAGCCACACUGGAACUGAGACACGGUCCAGACUCCUACGGGAGGCAGCAGUGGGGAAUAUUGCACAAUGGGCGCAAGCCUGAUGCAGCCAUGCCGCGUGUAUGAAGAAGGUCUUCGGGUUGUAAAGCACUUUAAGCUGGGAGGCGUUACCCGCAGAAGAAGCACCGGCUAACUCCGUGCCAGCAGCCGCGGUAAUAC